rnacentral:rRNA from 1 species
GUAGGGGGCAAGCGUUUGUCCGGAUUCAUUGGGCGUAAAGCGCGUGUAGGCGGUUCAAUAGGUCCGAUGUGAAAACUCGAGGCUCAACUUCGAGAGGCCAUCGGAAACCAUUGGACUAGAGUCCGGAAGAGGAGAGUGGAAUUCCUGGUGUAGCGGUGAAAUGCGCAGAUAUCAGGAGGAACACCGAUGGCGAAGGCAGCUCUCUGGGACGGUACUGCGCUGAGACGCGAAAGCGUGGGGAGCGAACAGGAUUAGAUACCCUGGUAGUCCACGCCGUAAACGAUGGGCACUAGGUGUGGGGUGGUGUCGACUCCCAUCCGUGCCGCAGCUAACGCAUUAAGUGCCCCCGCCCUGGGAGUACGGCCGCAAGGCUA